UAAUACCCCAUAGAUCAUGGGAUCUGGAAUGACCCAUGGUUGAAAGUUCCGGCGCCUAAGGAUCGCUCUGCGGCUUAUCAGGUUGUAGUGGGUGUAACGUACCCCCUAGCCAGUGACGAGUAUGGGCCUUGAGAGAGGGAGCCCAGAGUUGGAUUCUGAGACACGAAUCCAGGCCCUACGGGGCGCAGCAGUCGCGAAAACUUCACACUGGGGGCAACCCCGAUGAGGGAAUUCCUAGUGCUAGGACAUUUGUUCUAGCUUUUCUCUAGCGUAGAUAACUAGAGGAAUAAGGGCUGGGUAAGACGGGUGCCAGCCGCCGCGGUAAUACCUGCAGCCCAAGUGGUGGUCGAUUUUAUUGAGUCUAAAGCGUUCGUAGCCGGUUUGAUAAAUCCUUGGGUAAAUCGGGAAGCUUAACUUUCCGACUUCCGAGGAGACUGUCAAACUUGGGACCGGGAGAGGCUAGAGGUACUUCUGGGGUCGGGGUAAAAUCCUGUAAUCCUAGAAGGACCACCGGUGGCGAAGGCGUCUAGCUAGAACGGAUCCGACGGUGAGGGACGAAGCCCUGGGUCGCAAACUGGGAUUAGAUACCCCGGGUAGUCCAGUGGUGUAAACGCUGCCGACUUUGGUGU
rnacentral:rRNA from 1 species